AUUUUCCGCAAUGGGCGAAAGCCUGACGGAGCAACGCCGCGUGGACGAUGAAGCCUUUCGGGGCGUAAAGUCCUUUCAGCAGGGACGAAACAAAUGACGGUACCCGGAGAAGAAGCCCCGGCUAACUUCGUGCCAGCAGCCGCGGUAAUACGAAGGGGGCUAGCGUUGCUCGGAAUUACUGGGCGUAAAGGGCGCGUAGGCGGACAUUUAAGUCAGGGGUGAAAUCCCAGGGCUCAACCCUGGAACUGCCUUUGAUACUGGGUGUCUUGAGUACGGGAGAGGUGUGUGGAACUCCGAGUGUAGAGGUGAAAUUCGUAGAUAUUCGGAAGAACACCAGUGGCGAAGGCGACACACUGGCCCGUUACUGACGCUGAGGCGCGAAAGCGUGGGGAGCAAA
rnacentral:rRNA from 1 species